UGAUAUUUCUAGCUACGGUUUGCCCUA
rnacentral:piRNA from 1 species